CGUUCUCUUUAAUCCUAACAGAACAUCUCUGCUGGAAAUAAUAGUGUCCCCUCGCGCGUGUCCUCCGUGUCAGCGUGCCCAUUGUCAGUUCCCGAAUUACGGACGCACAGUAGGUGCCAGGAAAGUCCGAUACAUGUUACCCGAUUAGAAACGACACUGCUGGCGUUAAGCGUAAAGCAUGUUCUUGCGGCACGGUAUAAAGAGUAGUGUACAGUAUAAAAAAUUUACAUUGUAAAUAGCAUUGCUCAGAUAUGCUGGCGCGCGGUGCGUUUUGCGCUUUGUGUCCCGCGAUACUUUUCCUGAACGUUAAUGUGGCGGAAUGGGUGGAGAUGCCACAAUUCUCGGACGAAAACAAAAUUUACAGGUAAGCUGGCGCGUCGUAUCACCAGUUUGUCAAGCUUCGGCCGAGUGACACGACUAACGUUUACUCUGCGGAUGAUCAGCGGAACGGCAGCCAAACUUAUCACCGCGUUGCAACUUAUACGAGGAACGAAAAGAGAAAGGAAAUCGAAAAGAUAAAUUAUGCCCCAGUAUCGACGACGCCGUCAACAAGUUUCUUUCGCGACGAGAUUGCCGACGGUUUCGUGGAAAUCGGCAAAAAUCGCACUGCAACGAAUGGCAUCGCAAUCGAGGUAACAGGAUCUAUAUAUUUGAGGCAUGAGUUAUCGCAGUUGCAAAUUUAUGUUAUUCAGGACAAGCUAAAUAAUAGAUCAACAAAAAAUACAAGUGACAUACUCGCAACUCAGUCACCGUCAGCCACGCACGAGCAAGAGACGCUGCAGGACACGUACUACAAUCACACCCUGAAGCAGGACGAUACCAUGUUUCAAUACUUGCCGAUCGACAUACUUAAAAGCGUCCACCGCACUCUGCAAUCGCAGCCGGUGUCGUUCGAAGGAAAGCUACACUUUCUUAAAAUGUUUGAGAAGACGCUGAUGACAGAGAUAGGUAAAGUCCAUUCACGCGCGCUCUUUACAUUAUCGAGAUGAUACUGAGAGCUCUCGCUCCUGUUCAUCGACAGAGUCUCGCCUCGCCAGGACCAUGACGCCCGAUCGGAAAACAAGAGGCGCGGAUUAUUACGGGCACGACGACCACGACCAUUCCGUAGGAUUUCCCUCGAUAGAAGGCGCCCUGAUGGCUAUAUCGUUCCUCACGUUCGCAGUUUAUCUCGUACGACUAGUUAUGCUCCUGUUCCGGAAUAUGAACAACCCGAUGCCUACUACGACCGCUGCUACGGUGUUCCUCGGCAAGAGGAAAAGGUCCGCCGAUCUGAACGACGAUGCCGCUAGAAUACUCAGUAAUAUAAAUAACUUUGAUUCUGACUUUUGAAUACGUUAUCUUCUCACCGCGAUUUCUCUUCUCGCGAUUUUUUUCCACUUUACCCGUAUAUAAAUUACGAUGCGAAAAAAUGGAAUGUACACAUUAACGACACACGACGCACGCGUCAUACCUUAAAGUAGAAAUUAACUAUUGCUAUU